GAGAGAGGCUCGCUAGCAACGAAAACUGCUAAUUUUCGCAACUUUGGUUGAACCCCAAAGCUCACUCG
rnacentral:tRNA from 1 species